GAGAAGAACGUAGCGAAAUGCGAUAAGUAAUGUGAAUUGCAGAAUUCAGUGAAUCAUCGAAUCUUUGAACGCACAUUGCGCCCGCCAGCAUUCUGGCGGGCAUGCCUGUUCGAGCGUCAUUUCAACCCUCGAGCCCCCCCGGGGGCCUCGGUGUUGGGGGACGGCACACCAGCCGCCCCCGAAAUGCAGUGGCGACCCCGCCGCAGCCUCCCCUGCGUAGUAGCACACACCUCGCACCGGAGCGCGGAGGCGGUCACGCCGUAAAACGCCCAACUUUCUUAGAGUUGACCUCGGAUCAGGUAGGAAUACCCGCUGAACUUAAGCAUAUCAAUAAGCGGAGGA
rnacentral:misc_RNA from 1 species